ACGUAGGGUCCGAGCGUUGUCCGGAAUUACUGGGCGUAAAGCGUGCGUAGGUGGUUUGUUAAGUCUGCUGUGAAAGCCCCGGGCUCAACCUGGGAAUGGCAGUGGAUACUGGCAAGCUAGAGUGCGGUAGAGGGGUGUGGAAUUCCCGGUGUAGCGGUGAAAUGCGUAGAGAUCGGGAGGAACACCAGUGGCGAAGGCGGCACCCUGGACCAGCACUGACACUGAGGCACGAAAGCGUGGGGAGCAAACAGGA
rnacentral:rRNA from 1 species